AUGGCUCAGGAUGAACGCUAGCUACAGGCUUAACACAUGCAAGUCGAGGGUAGCAGGGUAGCAAUACCGCUGACGACCGGCGCACGGGUGAGUAACACGUAUCCAACUUCCCAUAACUCAGGGAUAGCCUUUCGAAAGAAAGGUUAAUACCUGAUAGUACUUUUUCAAGGCAUCUUGAAAAAGUUAAAGAUUUAUUGGUUAUGGAUGGGGAUGCGUUCCAUUAGAUAGUUGGUGAGGUAACGGCUCACCAAGUCUUCGAUGGAUAGGGGUUCUGAGAGGAAGGUCCCCCACAUUGGUACUGAGACACGGACCAAACUCCUACGGGAGGCAGCAGUGAGGAAUAUUGGUCAAUGGGCGAGAGCCUGAACCAGCCAAGUAGCGUGAAAGGAUGAAGGUCCUAUGGAUUGUAAACUUCUUUUAUAGUAGAAUAAAGUGAGCCACGUGUGGUUUUUUGUAUGUAUACUAUGAAUAAGGAUCGGCUAACUCCGUGCCAGCCGCGGC
rnacentral:rRNA from 1 species